GGUAAGAUGGCCGAGUGUUCAAGCGGCGGGCUGUAGACCCGUAAACAGAGGCUCAACUCCUCUUCUUAUCA
rnacentral:tRNA from 1 species